AACGAACGCUGGCGGCGUGGCUAAGGCAUGCAAGUCGAACGGUCAUAGUUUUGAGGGUAACUGAAGAGUAUGAUAGUGGCGAACGGGUGAGGAAUACUUGGAUAACGUACCCUAGACACAGGGAUAGCGGCGGGGAAACCCUUUGCGAAAGUGCCGGUAAUACCUGAUGACCCCGUAGGAUCGCAUGAUCCCGCGGGCAAAGCUCCGACGGUCUGGGAUCGGUUCAAGACCUAUCAGCUAGUUGGUGAGGUAACGGCCACCAAGGCUGCGACGGGUAUCGGGCGUGAGAGCGUGACCCGACACAUCGGAACUGAGACACGGUCCGGACACCUACGGGUGGCUGCAGCAACGAAUAUUCCGCAAUGGACNCAAGUCUGACGGAGCGACGCCGCGUGCAGGAA
rnacentral:rRNA from 1 species